rnacentral:lncRNA from 1 species
UAGAGUUCACAUAUAUUUGAAAAUGAAGAUAGAUUUUAUGUAUAUGAAGUGAUCAAAUAUUGAUACGUCUCCUAAAAAAUGAUUUAAAAAUGAUUUAUUGAUAUAUACAUCAACGCAAAAAGUGAUAUAGGAUUGUACGUAACAUAUAUAUUGAAUUUGGGGACAAGACAACAACCCGUAUAACAUGAAAUUUGGAAAUCAUCGAAUCUAUUGACGCGUGUAUCAAUGACACCUGUAUAAAUUCAUAUAUUCAUGGAUCAUAAAGGGCUAUUGUCGACAGGGCGGCCGAGGGCAGUUCGUUACUGGAGGGUCUCCUGGGCAUGGAGUUGAAGAGGAGCCCCAACCGCCUGCACCAAGAUCCAAAAGGAAAAUAUGUCAUCUAUAUAUACACUCUUUACAAUACUUCAGACUUCGUCUCAAUUUAUUUACAUGAUACAAAAAUAAAACGUAAAUUUGUUCCAUAAACAAAUGUUUUUUUUUCCAUUUUUGCAACUUGCAUAUUAGUUCAAGAAAGGAAAGAAAGACCUAGCUUUGACAUGAGGUUUGGAACAAUGGAGGAAAAUUAACAUUACUACUGUGAGGCGAUAAGGCAUGGCCACUAUUACACUAAGAGAUCAUCGGUACUUAUGUGCCGUUAUUUGGGGUAAGUACCUGAGGGCGUUAGCCCUAAAAGGGGCCUUACUAGUUUUCUAGUUUCAACCCAUGUUUGCUAAAUGUUGAUGGGCUAGUCCUACCUUUUAGUGGUCUAAAUAGAUUUGUGACACCUUAAAAGCAUCACCCAAACAUAGCAUUGGUUGAUAUUAUUCUACACAGAGAGCCGGGAGAGGAUGAUCUUAUGAAUAUACAAGCUCAACCACAAGUAGAGACAUGUCAUCAACAGAUUUCAAACCUAGUGUGAUUCAGACAAACCAUCAAUCUAUUAUCUCUGCCUCUGCUCUUGAUUAAAAGCAUGUAAAAACUAGGAGAUCAAAAUCCAUAACCUUGGAUCAGCUUGUCGUCCAAGGUUACAAUACAUACUUCUGUAAAAAUCAUAGUAAAAACAAAUAUUUAGUUUAGCACUUACAUCCCUGAUUCGAGGCUGCUAGGGGAACGAGGCUGCUCAUGCUGAUAAGAAUUAGCUGGAUCACCAGAAAAAAUGUAACACGGAAGGAAGGGCACCCCAACAUCAUCGUAUGAGAACCGAGAAGCUUUAAUUCCUUGUGGUUCCAGGAGCUAUCUAUAUAGGUAUAUGCCUAAACAUCGGCCAUUGCAUAGGUAUGACGUAGCAAGUUCA